CCUAGGGAGGUGGUCAGUUGGAGUAGAUACCUUCUGGUGCCCAUGGGCUGUUUCCUACCUGAGAGGGACAGAAAGAUGUACAGGAGCCCGUGGGGUGGCCGAGGAUUCCAGGCUGUGGACUCAGUUUGGACGUGGACGUGGAGGUGGAAGGGUGGUCUGGCCUCACGAUGCCUCCAGCUGCUGGAGCCAUUGCUGGCCGCCCCCUCCGGCAGCUGUGGGACCUCACAGCAGUGCUGUCUAGCAAUCACACCGCCUUAUCUCGUGCUCACUCUCUCCCCUUAGACGCAUCUGACCUUCGGGAAGGAGUUCACAGAAGCGGUAGAAGCCAAGCAGGUGGCUCAGCAGGAAGCGGAGAGGGCCAGAUUCGUGGUGGAAAAGGCUGAGCAGCAGAAGAAGGCAGCCAUCAUCUCUGCGGAGGGCGACUCCAAGGCCGCGGAGCUGAUCGCCAACUCGCUCGCCACCGCAGGCGAUGGCCUGAUCGAGCUGCGCAAGCUGGAGGCCGCAGAGGACAUCGCAUACCAGCUGUCCCGCUCUCGGAACAUCACCUACCUGCCCGCCGGGCAGUCGGUGCUCCUCCAGCUGCCCCAGUGAGGCCCGCCCGCCUGCUCCUCCUGGGGCAGCUGGACCACCGCCCGAUGAUCCUCCACACCACCUUCCUUCCGCCCCCGCCCCAGAAAUCACUGUGAGACUCAUGAUUGGCUUCAAGUGAAGGAAAUAAAAGUUAGAUCACCUCAGAUCUGUAAUUACUGUAUCUAAACUGAAGCUCUUUCAUUCUUAUUUCCAUCCCCUUUUUAUCCCCCUCCCUACCAAAAAUUGCCAGGUGCCUCCACAGACCAGCCUGGCUCCCGUCUUCGGCCUGCUGGCGCCCAGCCUAGGUGCUGGCAGUUGGCAGAAGGAAGGCAAUGCUGUGUGUGUGACGAGCUGGGAGCACAGCGGGCAGCCGUGUAGCCUCCAACCUGUGGUUUAUUCACAGUUGGAGGAAGAUGGCACACACAGCUGAGCUGCGAACACAGGCCUCAGUUUUCUCUCUGCACAGACCGAGCUGAAGGCAGGUGCUGGGGAGGCGCAGAGGGGAAGCGAUCUGUCUCUUGCCAUCAGGCUGAUUCUCUAACUGUGGGGCCAGCGGAAGCAGGUGUGUACAGACAGCGAGGUUUGAAGAAUCUGCCCUGUGAAGGUGGGUGGGCCUGAUUUGCUGCCCCCCCGGGGUCCUAAGACUGGAAUGGACUUGGCUAGUGAGAGAGCAGGCCUGGACCGAGAUGUGAGUCCUGGAGACUUCCUCUCCGCCUCCCACCUUGGUGUCUCAAAUACCCGGUGGAAUUCCAGCUUGAAGGAUUGCAUCCUGCCGGGGCUGCACAUGCCUGCCAAGGACAUGCGCAUCCUGCGUUCCUGGCCCCCUCGUUCAGAGACUGCCCUCCUAGAGGGCUCUGUGCCUGUGCCUUGAAGGAAACAACCACAAGAAGAAAAGAGUUGUGUGUAAACCGCUGUCAAUAAAUGACACCCAGACCUUCCA